UUUGAAUCUCAUUUUCUGAUAAGAAGCAGAAAGAUGAUGCCAAAAUGAUGAGAGAAGCAGCUGAGGGGACAGUGGAGAGGUGGCCUGGAGAGGGCUCUCAAAAAUAAGAAAGAAAAGGAAUCAGGGAGAAAGAGAGGAAGCCAGCUGUGGAAGUGCAUACCUGUGACCACAGUCGCCGGGAGUCAGAAGCAAGCGUCAGAUAACAAGUUCAAAGCUGCUAUGGUCUAUGUACAGAAUCUUAUAAUGGCUAAAGCUACAGGGUGAGACCCUACCUCAAAAAACAAAACGAGGAGUUGAGAGGUGGCUCAGCAAUUAAAAUUAC
rnacentral:lncRNA from 1 species